GCCCAACCACAUAGCUCAGCCUAGCACCCAAACCCGCAACCCACAACCCUCAACCAAAUCAUUUGCCACGCCAAGUAUAUGAGAUAGAACAGUCACACUGACGCAACAGAACACACGUACCACAAGGAAACAAUGAAAGAAAAAUAAAAUAAAAGCACAAAACAGCAGGGCUCACCUCCCGUACCUUCUGCAUAAUGGUUUAGCCAGCACAAACAGGUACAGAGAACUAUAACCUGCCCACCCGAACCCAGACGAGCUACCCUAAAGCAGUUAUAGUGAACCAACCCGGCUCUGUGGCAAAAGAGCGGGAUGACUUUAAGGUAGAGGUGAAACGCCAACCGAGCCUGGCAAUAGCUGGUUGCUCACUAAAUGAAUCUAAGUUCAACUCUAAUGUCAACAGUAUAAAAAAUUACGCCUACAUUAGAAGAUAUGCCUCAGAGGACCAGCCCUGAGGCAACUGGAUACAGCCAAAAUUGGAGGGCCCAACAAUAAUUAACACCCAGUAGGCCCUCAAGCAGCCACCAAAAACAAUCGCGUUAAAGCGGAAAACCCCAACAAUCUGAUAACAAAAUAACAACCCCCAUAUCAAACUGAGCCACCCUAUAAAACCCUAGGGGAGCCACUGCUAAAACUAGUAAUAUGAGCACACUCUCACUGCACUCGCCUACAACCAAAAAUAAUUACCAACUCACAUACACCACCAAACCAAGUCCACCUACACCACCAACCCGUUACCCCGACACAGGCAUGCAAUACAACAGAUUAACAGUCACAGAAGGAACUCGGCUAACAUACCCCACCUGUUUACCAAAAACAUCGCCUUUAGCCAAUACCAGUAUUAAAGGUCCCACCUGCCCAGUGAAAAACUUUAAACGGCCGCGGUAUCCUAACCGUGCAAAGGUAGCGCAAUCACUUGUCCCCUAAAUAGGGACCCGUAUGAAUGGCUAACUGAGGGUAUAACUGUCUCCUGUGACCAAUCAAUGAAACUGAUCCACCAGUACAAAAGCUGGUAUAAAUACACAAGACGAGAAGACCCUGUGGAACUUUAACACACCCCGCUAACAUAAUCAUACAGCCAUGAAAUAGCGGACAUUUUAAGUUGGGGCGACUGCGGAGUAAAAACAAACCUCCAUGAAACAAGACUAACCCUCCUUAAAGGCCAACACGCCGACAGGGCUAGCCCGACACAUGACCCAGACCAAACUGAGCAACGAACCAAGCUACCCCAGGGAUAACAGCGCCAUCUCCCUCAAGAGUCCAUAUCGGCAGGGGGGUUUACGACCUCGAUGUUGGAUCAGGACACCCCAGUGGUGCAGCCGCUACCAACGGUCCGUUUGUUCAACGGUUAAUGUCCUACGUGAUCUGAGUUCAGACCGGAGUAAUCCAGGUCGGUUUCUAUCUGUGCCAUAUCUUCUUCAGUACGAAAGGACCAAGAAGACAGUGCCAACGCACAUCGCAUGCACUGCAAAUAACAGUUGAACACAAAUAAAACUCAAACCAAAACCGUGGUCCAAUACAAGGACUAUU
rnacentral:rRNA from 1 species